UACGUAGGGGGCAAGCGUUGUCCGGAAUCAUUGGGCGUAAAGCGCGUGUAGGCGGCUUGGUAAGUCCGUUCUGAAAGCCCGGGGCUCAACCCCGGGAGGCGGAUGGAUACUGUCAAGCUUGAGUCCGGAAGAGGCGAGUGGAAUUCCCGGUGUAGCGGUGAAAUGCGCAGAUAUCAGGAGGAACACCGGUGGCGAAGGCGGGUCUCUGGGCCGUAACUGACGCUGAAGAGCGAAAGCGUGGGGAGCGAACAGG
rnacentral:rRNA from 1 species